AAAAACAUUUUAUUUUUCACUAAAGAAGGGUUCGGUGAAUGCGCAUAUGAAACUAGUGGGGUUCGGUACCUCAAACAAGGAUAAGAACUACUGGUCUAUGGUCACCAGCGAAUAGAGAAUAGAUAACAUCAACAAUGUCCCGACAACAAAGAUAGAAACUUAAACAGGUGAGGAGAAAUGCUCUGGGACAAAAGUGAAGCAGCCACGGGAAAACACCAACAAAACCGGGAGCGCCACCAAAAUAAAAGCACAAGACAGGAACUAACACAAAACAUCGGAGAACACUAACAAAACCCAACAUAAAGACAAGGCCUGGUGUAACCAGCUGUGACACCAUCAUAGCUAUUAGACAAUAAUCGCAAUCUGCUGGAAGUUGGCUGAUUGACACUGAUGUCAAAACGUAUUUUUCACUAAUAAAACACAAGUAACAUGGUGUUCUUCAAAGAUGUAUUUGUGCUACGUGUCCAGCAGAGGGCACACUAACUAACUCAUUUCAUCUUUCAUCACCAGCAGAGGGAAGUAGUGAGGACUAGAGAGCCAAUUGCAUUUACUCAACCCAAUCGUGUGAAUCAAUGGCAAGUUCAGACCGAGUUUGUGAAGUAAACAAUAAGUCAACAAGUUAUGUCUCAAAGCACAUUGUGUCUCAACCAGCCUACAGCAGGCAACUGCAAUUUUGCACCAAUUUUCACUCUAAACGUGAGUGAAGAAUGCCCUACCAAUUUUAACCACUAGAUCGCAGUACAGAGCUGGAAUAGUUUAGUCCCAGUUCCAACUUUGACUAUAAUUUGAGUUCCUUGAAAAAGUUUUAAGAUUUUUUUGGAGAGAAGUGUAGUUAGUUUUUUUUUUUUAAUAUAGUUUAUAUAAAACACAAAUUAUUCAUUUUUCCAUUCAACUGUUUGGACAAAUGUAAUAACAAUUCUGGGGAAAAUUUAAAGGGAAUGUAAUCUGUUGGCAUCUCAUUUAAACAUGGGAUUGAACUCAGAUCCCUAUUGAAAUUGUGAUUGCUAUUCUGCUUCCUAACCACUGCUCCAUUCCAUCAUGAAUAGAUGUUAUUCAACUCAAUUUUAUUGCUUAAAAAUAUGUUAAGGAGUUGUGACAAGAACGUUUGACAUCACGUUGAAGAAGAGGACACACACAGAACCUCAACAAAGUGUCCCUGUGGCGAGGAAAACUGACAAUAAAAGAUCAGUGGAGAGAUUUGUCAUCACCACUUUGCAGCUGACAGAAAGAUUUUAAGAUCUGUUCCAUUGACAACAAGGAAUUGCGUCUCCGGCAAGCAGAAGUAUAAAAGGCAGCUGGCAGGAAGUUUAAUGAUGUCCUUUUAACAGACGAGUCCACGGUUUUGUUAGUUUUUUGUCUUGAGGUGUUGGGAGCAGGAAAGCCAUCAAGGCCAAGACCAAACCAAAAGCCAAACACCCUGUCAAACUGAAUGUGUGGAAUAGAAUUUGAAGGCACGGUGCGUCAUGGGAGAUGCCGGAGGUUGUCAUGAUUGUAGGGAUGCAGAUGAAUGAGGUGGAGGUGUGAGGUAACAAAGGGGAAUUUAAUAAUAAAACAAACAAAAAGCGAGAGCAACGGGGAAGUGCUCUGACCAAAGAAGCUGAGACGAACACAAAACAAAAUGCAAAACACUUAUAGAAAAUUUGGGGUUGACGACGUCCACACAGUACGAGUGUACUUAGCAUCCAAAAGGAUCGUCUAUGGUCACCAGAGAAUAGACAAUAGCAGCACUUACAAACAAUGUCCCAACAACAAAUGGUGGCUCACACUCAACUUAAAUAGAACUGCUAACAGAAAGCAGGUAAGGGAAAAUGCUCUGUGACAAAAGUAAAGCAACCAUGGGAAAACACCAACAAAACCGGAUUAGCCACCAAAAUAAAGGCACAGGACAGGAACUAACACAAAACACUGGAGAUCACUAACAAAAUGGCACACACAGCCUUAUAACCAGCCGUGACAGAAUGUCCUCCCAACAAAAUGGAUACCAGACGUUCUAGAAAAAAAGGUCCAAAGUCACAGGAGAGCGGAGGGAGUACAAGACGGUGGGUCGCCUGGCCAUAUGUCGUCGCAACCAGCGGGGAAGAGUCAGUUGGCGCCGACAGACUGCCGGCAAGGCGGGCGACCACGGAACUGCCACAUUUCGUGGCUGAAGAGGGGGCCGGGACGCGUGCGGGUGACAAGCUGGAGGCAAUGAGGAGCCA